rnacentral:rRNA from 1 species
GCUGAUUUUAGGUCAGUCUGCCCCUGAAUUAUAUUUAAAUGGCCGCAGUAUUUUGACUGUGCAAAGGUAGCAUAAUCAUUAGUUUUUUAAUUAAAAGCUUGUAUGAAAGGCUGGACGAGGUAAAAUCUGUCUCUAUUUUAAUUAUAAUAGAAUUUAACUUUUAAGUUAAAAGGCUUAAAUAGUAUUAAAAGACGAGAAGACCCUAUAGAUCUUUAUAAUUUAUUAAAUAAAAUUAAUUUAGAAGUAUUUAUAUUUUAUUUAUUAAAUUAUUUUAUUGGGGUAAUAGAAAGAUUGAAUUAAUUCUUUUUUAUAAUAAACAUUAAUUUAUGAAUAUAAAUGAUCCAGUUUUACUGAUUAUAAGAUUAAGUUACCUUAGGGAUAACAGCGUAAUUUUUUUAGAGAGUUCAUAUCGAUAAAAAAGUUUGCGACCUCCAUGUUGGAUUAAAGAUUAUUUUAGGUGCAGAAGCUUAAUAAUUUUGGUCUGUUCGACCAUUAAAUCUUUACGUGAUCUGAGUUCAGACCGGAGUCCUACNUGAUCUGAGUUCAAACCGGA